rnacentral:rRNA from 1 species
AUUGAACGCUGGCGGCAGGCCUAACACAUGCAAGUCGAACGAGUGGCGGACGGGUGAGUAAUGUCUGGGAAACUGCCUGAUGGAGGGGGAUAACUACUGGAAACGGUAGCUAAUACCGCAUACCAUCGGAUGUGCCCAGAUGGGAUUAGCUAGUAGGUGGGGUAACGGCUCACCUAGGCGACGAUCCCUAGCGGGUCUGAGAGGAUGACCAGCCACACUGGAACUGAGACACGGUCCAGACUCCUACGGGAGGCAGCAGUGGGGAAUAUUGCGCAAUGGGCGAAAGCCUGAUGCAGCCAUGCCGCGUGGAUGAAGAAGGCCUUCGGGUUGUAAAGUUCUUUCAUCGGGGAGGCGUUAUCCGCAGAAGAAGCACCGGCUAACUCCGUGCCAGCAGCCGCGGUAAUUC